rnacentral:lncRNA from 1 species
CUCCAUCUGAUUAAGAGCUCCAUCACAAUCAAAAUCACCUUCUUUAACCAUACACCUAAGAUCAUCAUCACUCAAAUCUUGAAGUCCCAACAAAGCUGAAUUCUUCUUCAGACUCUCAAAUGUACAACAACAACAACAAACCCAGUGUAUUCCCACCUAGCGGGGUCUGGGGAAGGUAAAAUGUACGCUAUCCAUACCACUACCUCCGAAGAAGUAGAGAGGUUAUUUCCGAUAGACCCCCAGCUCAGUACAGACUCUCAAAUGUAAAAACCCCUGUAUUCCUAUCAAUCAAUAACCGUGGUGUCCAGGCCAACCUGCGCGCACCUCGACUAGUUCCACGAAAUACCUGUCACCUCCCACCAGCAACAAGUAUCAUCCCCACCUAUUUUUUAAAAAAUAAUUGUGAUGUCAAGGCCAACUUGCACGCACCUCGACUAGUUCCACGAUAUACCUGCCACCUCCCACCAGCAACAAGUAUCAUCCCCACCUAAUUUCUCAGCCAUAAAAGGCAACAAAUAGUUGAAUAUGAUCUCAAUAACUUGGAAAACUGGAAAAGUACUCAUUGGUAGAGACACUAGACAGAACUGAAUAAACAAGUUGUUUCUCCAUUCAUACAACUUUCUGUAUAUGUUUUUGCAAUGUAUUACAUGUUUAGUACUAUUAAAGACAAAAGUUGACAAAAGUUACAAUGAAAAGUCACAAUCUUUCAUAGGAAGUACAAGGGUAAAAGGGCAAGUUACAAUGUAAAGUCAGAAUCUUGAUGAAGAGCUUCAUCUAACAAAAACUGAGAUUCCUCCAUUAACUCAGGACUCAAUCUAAACAUCAACACACAAAACUCCAUCUGAUUAAGAGCUCCAUCACCAUCAAAAUCACCUUCUUUAACCAUACACCUAAGAUCAUCAUCACUCAAAUCUUGAAGUCCCAACAAAGCUGAAUUCUUCUUCAGACUCUCAAAUGUGAUAACCCCUU